UACGGGGGAGCAAGCGUUGUUCGGAUUUACUGGGCGUAAAGGCGCGUAGGCGGCGUGACAAGUCACUUGUGAAAUCUCCGGGCUUAACUCGGAAAGGUCAGCCGAUACUGCGGGCUAGAGUGCAGAAGGGGCAACUGGAAUUCUCGGUGUAGCGGUGAAAUGCGUAGAUAUCGAGAGGAACACCUGCGGCGAAGGCGGGUUGCUGGGCUGACACUGACGCUGAGGCGCGAAAGCUAGGGAGCGAACGGG
rnacentral:rRNA from 1 species